UACGUAGGGUGCAAGCGUUAAUCGGAAUUACUGGGCGUAAAGCGUGCGCAGGCGGUGAUGUAAGACAGUUGUGAAAUCCCCGGGCUCAACCUGGGAACUGCAUCUGUGACUGCAUCGCUGGAGUACGGCAGAGGGGGGUGGAAUUCCGCGUGUAGCAGCGAAAUGCGUAGAGAUGCGGAGGAACACCGAUGGCGAAGGCAGCCCCCUGGGCUAACACUGACGCUCAGGCACGAAAGCGUGGGGAGCAAACAGG
rnacentral:rRNA from 1 species